rnacentral:lncRNA from 1 species
AAAGUAAUGAGAAGCACAGUGGAGACAAGUUUCUGAAGGAUGGAAGAGGCUGGAGGCUGUCUGGUGGGAGAAGGUUCCCAGACAUGUGAGAGACCCAGCAACAGAUUCUCAUCGUAAAUCUCUGACUCAUCACUUCCAGCCAGAUUGCCAUGCCUAAACCACUUUCUUUGAAGUUUAUGGAAGCACCACUGCAUUUAUGCCAGAAGGUGAAAGUUCAGAACAGAUGAAGAAACUGAAGGUAAAGAGAAGUAUUAUGUGUGCAAUGGCAUACAACCAUCUGAAAUGGACAAAUAGAUUGUGUUCCUAUGAUCUUCCAUAAUACUAUGUGACUUCUCUGACAUAUGGAGGAUUUUGAGCCUGGGAAUGAGGCAUUGUUUGUAAGCUACUAGCAGUAACAGUGUUUUUUGGGAACAAGCACAGCCUGAGAAAAAAGAACAAGCCAGAUAUGAGAAGGAAUUCUCAAAAAUCGAUUACUGAGAAGAGCCUUCUCUGACCACACUCUGUAAAAUAAAUCUACUCAUCUGACAAAGGGCUAAUAUCCAGAACCUACAAAGAACUCAAACAAAUUUACAAGAAAAAAACAAACAACCCCA